GAUGAACGCUGGCGGCGUGCCUAAUACAUGCAAGUCGAGCGAACAGACGAGGCGCUUGCUCCUCUGACGUUAGCGGCGGACGGGUGAGUAACACGUGGAUAACCUACCUAUAAGACUGGGAUAACUUCGGGAAACCGGAGCUAAUACCGGAUAAUAUAUUGAACCGCAUGGUUCAAUAGUGAAAGACGGUUUUGCUGUCACUUAUAGAUGGAUCCGCGCCGCAUUAGCUAGUUGGUACGGUAACGGCUUACCAAGGCGACGAUGCGUAGCCGACCUGAGAGGGUGGUAGGCCACACUGGAACUGAGACACGGUCCAGACUCCUACGGGAGGCAGCAGUAGGGAAUCUUCCGCAAUGGGCGAGAGUCUGACGGAGCAACGCCGCGUGAGUGAUGAAGGUCUUCGGAUCGUAAAACUCUGUUAUUAGGGAAGAACAAAUGUGUAAGUAACUAUGCACGUCUUGACGGUACCUAAUCAGAAAGCCACGGCUAACUACGUG
rnacentral:rRNA from 1 species